rnacentral:rRNA from 1 species
AUUGAACGAGGGUGGAAGGAGGAACACAGGCAAGUCGAGCGGAUGAAGGGAGCUUGCUCCUGGAUUCAGCGGCGGACGGGUGAGUAAUGCCUAGGAAUCUGCCUGGUAGUGGGGGAUAACGUCCGGAAACGGGCGCUAAUACCGCAUACGUCCUGAGGGAGAAAGUGGGGGAUCUUCGGACCUCACGCUAUCAGAUGAGCCUAGGUCGGCUUAGCUAGUUGGUGGGGUAAAGGCCUACCAAGGCGACGAUCCGUAACUGGUCUGAGAGGAUGAUCAGUCACACUGGAACUGAGACACGGUCCAGACUCCUACGGGAGGCAGCAGUGGGGAAUAUUGGACAAUGGGCGAAAGCCUGAUCCAGCCAUGCCGCGUGUGUGAAGAAGGUCUUCGGAUUGUAAAGCACUUUAAGUUGGGAGGAAGGGCAGUAAGUUAAUACCUUGCUGUUUUGACGUUACCAACAGAAUAAGCACCGGCUAACUUCGUG